GAUACUCAAUUUAAAGUGACUAAACAGAAUUCUAUACUCGAUCUCAUAGAUCCCUAUAGAAUUCUGUGGAAAGUUGUAUUCGAUGAAAGUCCUAUGUAUGGCUUGGAGGGCCGCCGCUGUACCUGCUGCUCGCCCGUCGCUGUUGUACCUACUGCUCCCCCUUGUUGCUCUAUGGCCUUCACCCUUUCAAGUUCCUCAUGCUGCCUCAGGCUACCCCGCUGCUCCCUGCGCCCCAUCCUUCCCCCGUUCAAACUCCAUGAGCUUCAUUACAUAUCUCCAUAA
rnacentral:rRNA from 1 species